rnacentral:rRNA from 1 species
UACGAAGGGGGCUAGCGUUGUUCGGAAUUACUGGGCGUAAAGCGCGUGUAGGCGGGUCUUUAAGUCAGGGGUGAAAUGCCAAGGCUCAACCUUGGAACUGCCUUUGAUACUGGAGACCUUGAGUCCGGGAGAGGUGAGUGGAAUUGCGAGUGUAGAGGUGAAAUUCGUAGAUAUUCGCAAGAACACCAGUGGCGAAGGCGGCUCACUGGCCCGGAACUGACGCUGAGAUGCGAAAGCGUGGGGAGCAACAGG